GUGAGGAAUAUUGGGCAAUGGGCGAAAGCCUGACCCAGCCACGCCGCGUGAGUGAUGAAGGCCUUCGGGUUGUAAAGCUCUGUGGGGAGGGAAGAAAAAGCGGGAGAGUAACUGCUCUCGUGUUGACGGUACCUCCUUAGCAAGCACCGGCUAACUCUGUGCCAGCAGCCGCGGUAAUACAGAGGGUGCAAACGUUGCUCGGAAUUACUGGGCGUAAAGCGCGUGGAGGCUGACAUGCAAGUCGGGUGUGAAAUCCCAGGGCUCAACCUUGGAACUGCACUCGAAACUGCACGUCUUGAGUACUGGAGAGGGAAGCGGAAUUCCGGGUGUAGAGGUGAAAUUCGUAGAUAUCCGGAGGAACACCAGUGGCGAAGGCGGCUUCCUGGACAGUAACUGACGCUGAGACGCGAAAGCGUGGGGAGCAAACAGGAUUAGAAACCCCUGUAGUCC
rnacentral:rRNA from 1 species